rnacentral:piRNA from 1 species
CACAAAGCUACACUUGGGUGGAAUUCC